AGCAAAUGAUGACUUUUUCUCAUGACGGGCUGCAGACACCACUGUGCGCAGCAGUGGUAACACCAACGGCUCAGCCGAUGCCAGGAA
ensembl:snoRNA